rnacentral:rRNA from 6 species
AAAUUGAAGAGUUUGAUCAUGGCUCAGAUUGAACGCUGGCGGCAGGCCUAACACAUGCAAGUCGAACGGUAGCACAGAGAGCUUGCUCUCGGGUGACGAGUGGCGGACGGGUGAGUAAUGUCUGGGAAACUGCCUGAUGGAGGGGGAUAACUACUGGAAACGGUGGCUAAUACCGCAUAACGUCGCAAGACCAAAGAG